CAUCUUGGGGCGGGGCCAACUGACAGAACGCGGGCCAACUGCCAGCUGGCUCCAUCUAGUGGCUGCCGCUGACAGGGUGAAGUGGAACUGAGAUCAACUCGGCAAAAGGAAUUUGACAAAUCUGAAGCUAUACUUGAGGAGGUAACUGCGGCUGAAAAACAGUGAAGAGGUGCCUGUCCCCAUGGAAGAUUCGCGUCUGUCCAGCAGUGUUGACGUGGACAAAGGCUUUGCCAUUGCCUUUGUUGUUCUUCUCAUUCUCUUCCUGAUAGUGAUGAUUUUUCGGUGUGCCAAGUUGGUGAGGAACCCCUAUGAGGCCAGCUCCACAACCACAGACCUGCCUCUGAGUUGAAGUGUGGUCAGGCCUUGGUCAGCAGCCCCUCAAAGAGAGCUGAAAUCUUUCACACAGACUUUUAUGACCCAGCGUUUCUGUUACUGCACCUUCCUUCAUCUAAGCCUGUUCACCCUUUCACUCCACAAUAGGUUUGUGAGAGUGAGUUGAAGACUAAUAAAAAGAGAUGAAAUGCAA